rnacentral:rRNA from 1 species
GACGAACGCUGGCGGCGUGCUUAACACAUGCAAGUCGAACGGAAAGGCCUUUUCGGAGGUACUCGAGUGGCGGACGGGUGAGUAACACGUGGGUGAUCUGCCCUGCACUCUGGGAUAAGCCUGGGAAACUGGGUCUAAUACCGGAUAGGACCGCACUUUAGUGUGUGUGGUGGAAAGUUUUUUCGGUGUAGGAUGAGCCCGCGGCCUAUCAGCUUGUUGGUGGGGUAAUGGCCUACCAAGGCGGCGACGGGUAGCCGGACUGAGAGGUUGGUCGGCCACAUUGGGACUGAGAUACGGCCCAGACUCCUACGGGAGGCAGCAGUGGGGAAUAUUGCACAAUGGGCGCAAGCCUGAUGCAGCGACGCCGCGUGGGGGAUGACGGCCUUCGGGUUGUAAACUCCUUUCGCCAGGGACGAAGCGUUUUGUGACGGUACCUGGAGAAGAAGCACCGGCUAACUACGUG